rnacentral:rRNA from 1 species
UACAGAGGUCCCAAGCGUUGUUCGGAUUCACUGGGCGUAAAGGGUGCGCAGGUGGGUUUGCAAGUUCGAUGUGAAAGCCCCGGGCUUAACCCGGGAAUGGCAUUGGAUACUGCAGAUCUGGAGGAUCGGAGGGGGGACUGGAAUUCUUGGUGUAGCAGUGAAAUGCGUAGAUAUCAAGAGGAACACCAGUGGCGAAGGCGAGUCCCUGGACGAUACCUGACACUGAGGCACGAAAGCUAGGGGAG